rnacentral:tRNA from 1 species
GGGGAAGUAGCUCAGCGGGAGAGCACCUGGUUUGCAUCCAGGGGGCCGUGGGUUCAAAUCCCAUCUUCUCCA